rnacentral:piRNA from 1 species
GACAGGAAAGCCAGAGCUCUGAG